rnacentral:rRNA from 1 species
UGUCCAGACUCCUACGGGAGGCAGCAGUGGGGGAUAUUGCACAAUGGGGGAAACCCUGAUGCAGCGACGCCGCGUGGGCGAAGAAGUAUUUCGGUAUGUAAAUCCCUAUCAGCAGGGAAGAAGAAAUGACGGUACCUGAAUAAGAAGCACCGGCUAAAUACGUGCCAGCAGCCGCGGUAACACGUAGGGGGCGAGCGUUAUCCGGAAUCAUUGGGCGUAAAGGGUGCGUAGGCGGCCUUUUAAGCGCGGGGUCUAAGGCGGUGGCCCAACCACCGUUCGCCCCGCGAACUGGAGGGCUAGAGUGUCGGAGAGGGAAGCGGAAUUCCUAGUGUAGCGGUGAAAUGCGUAGAUAUUAGGAGGAACACCAGUGGCGAAGGCGGCUUCCUGGACGAAGACUGACGCUGAGGCACGAAAGCGUGGGGAGCGAACAGGAUUAGAUACCCUAGUAA